rnacentral:rRNA from 1 species
ACUCCUACGGGAGGCAGCAGUGGGGAAUAUUGCACAAUGGGCGCAAGCCUGAUGCAGCGACGCCGCGUGAGGGAUGACGGCCUUCGGGUUGUAAACCUCUUUCAGCAGGGAAGAAGCGAAAGUGACGGUACCUGCAGAAGAAGCGCCGGCUAACUACGUGCCAGCAGCCGCGGUAAUACGUAGGGCGCAAGCGUUGUCCGGAAUUAUUGGGCGUAAAGAGCUCGUAGGCGGUUUGUCGCGUCUGCUGUGAAAACCUAAGGCUCAACCUUGGGCUUGCAGUGGGUACGGGCAGACUAGAGUGCGGUAGGGGUGACUGGAAUUCCUGGUGUAGCGGUGGAAUGCGCAGAUAUCAGGAGGAACACCGAUGGCGAAGGCAGGUCACUGGGCCGCAACUGACGCUGAGGAGCGAAAGCAUGGGGAGCGAACGGGAUUAGAUACCCUGGUAGUCCAUGCCGUAAACGUUGGGCACUAGGUGUGGGGCUCAUUCCACGAGUUCCGUGCCGCAGCAAACGCAUUAAGUGCCCCGCCUGGGGAGUACGGCCGCAAGGCUAAAACUCAAAGAAAUUGACGGGGGCCCGCACAAGCGGCGGAGCAUGCGGAUUAAUUCGAUGCAACGCGAAGAACCUUACCAAGGCUUGACAUACACCGGAAAAGUGCAGAGAUGUGCUCCCCGCAAGGUCGGUGUACAGGUGGUGCAUGGUUGUCGUCAGCUCGUGUCGUGAGAUGUUGGGUUAAGUCCCGCAACGAGCGCAACCCUCGUCCCAUGUUGCCAGCGGGUUAUGCCGGGGACUCAUGGGAGACUGCCGGGGUCAACUCGGA